rnacentral:rRNA from 1 species
GUAAUCAAAAGCUUGUUAAUUGUAAGCCCGUAUGAAAGAAAAUUUCCAAGGUAAAUAUCUUUACCUCUUGGAGAAAUUAAAAAGAAUUAAAAAAAUUCUUGUGCUCGUAAGACGAGAAGACCCUAUAAGCUUUCUUGUUUAAAAAGUUACUUGGGGAAAGUAAAUUAAAUCUUUCUAAUUAAUUAAAAAUUUAAUAACUACCGAAAUAAGCUACUUUAGGGAUAACAGAGCAAUUCUUGUAAAGAGUACCUAUUCUCACAAGAGUUUGCGACCUCGAUGUUGGAUUCUUUGGUCUAAGGGCCGCAGAAGACUCUAAAGAUAUACUGUUCGUAUUUUCAAAAAAG